UCAGGCUUAACACAUGCAAGUCGAACGGAUCACUUCGGUGGUUAGUGGCGAACGGGUGAGUAAUGCCUAGGAAUCUGCCUAUUAGCGGGGGAUAACGUUCCGAAAGGAACGCUAAUACCGCAUACGCCCUACGGGGGAAAGCAGGGGAUCUUCGGACCUUGCACUAAUAGAUGAGCCUAGGUCAGAUUAGCUAGUUGGUGGGGUAAAGGCUCACCAAGGCGACGAUCUGUAGCGGGUCUGAGAGGAUGAUCCGCCACACUGGAACUGAGACACGGUCCAGACUCCUACGGGAGGCAGCAGUGGGGAAUAUUGGACAAUGGGCGCAAGCCUGAUCCAUACAGGCCGCGUGUGUGAAGAAGGCCUUUUGG
rnacentral:rRNA from 1 species